CCUACGGGUGACAGCAGUGAGGAAUAUUGGUCAAUGGACGAGAGUCUGAACCAGCCAAGCAGCGUGAAGGAUGACUGCCCUAUGGGUUGUAAACUUCUUUUAUAUGGGAAUAAAAUGUUCCACGUGUGGCAUUUUGUAUGUACCAUAUGAAUAAGGAUCGGCUAACUCCGUGCCAGCAGCCGCGGUAAUACGGAGGAUCCGAGCGUUAUCCGGAUUUAUUGGGUUUAAAGGGUGCGUAGGUGGUUUGUUAAGUCAGUGGUGAAAGUUUGCGGCUCAACCGUGGAAUUGCAGUUGAAACUGGCAGUCUUGAGUGCAGUUGAGGUAGGCGGAAUGCGUGGUGUAGCGGUGAAAUGCUUAGAUAUCACGAAGAACUCCGAUUGCGAAGGCAGCUCACUGGACUCCAACUGACGCUGAGGCUCGAAAGUGUGGGUAUCAAACAGGAUUAGAUACCCCUGUAGUC
rnacentral:rRNA from 1 species